GGCCUAGGAAGGAGAGAGAGGAGGAAGAUAAGUGCCAUCACAUUCAAUACCACACAACAGUACACGGACACAAGCCUUGAUUCGUAAUGUUGCUCCACAACUAUCGGGAUUACUCAGUUUUAAGCACGAGAAGCCCUCAGAGUCCAAUGUUAAAAGUAUGGAAGCGGAUGCACCUUUAUUUCUAGAGCACUUUGCAUUGAUACAGGUUAUUCCAAAGCACGCUGCAACCUUGACAAAGUGGGCUGCGAUUAAUGGCUGGGAUUUUCAAAGGAGCCUUAGAGAUUAGGUCCAUUUAUAUGGUCCACGUGAAAGGGAAUUUAGAUGAAGCCGAGUAUCCAAGCUAAACCUAAACAUUUGAGAUUUAAUAAAAAAGGGGGUGGGGGAUGGUUCAAGCAGUAUCUUAAGGCUGCCAAAUCACCAGAGACAGUUAUUUUCAUACUGCCAUUAUUAAAGGGAGACUGUGCAACAGCUGGAGACUAUCAGACUUUAGAUAGCCUUGCCUGUGUUGUGGUAUGAGACUGUGAUGUCAGCAACAGAUGUUGGAGGGAAAAAUACAACUGUUUUGUGGUUUCCAUGUCUAGUUUUUAAUGGGCAGAUUAAAUGGUGGAGGAGGUACGUUUUUUUUCUUUUUUUUGCUGGAAAGGUUUGAAGUUUCCCUGUGAAGUUGCUUUUCACUCAGGCAGCGCUUAGAUUUGCCUUUAAAAAGUCAUGAGAGCAAUUCCGUGCUGCUGCACUACCAUUUUAGUUCCAAUUCAACAUGGAAACAUAAGAAUGAAAAGUGCAAGGCAUCUGUGUGAAUGUAGGCCCAUGCCGAAGCAAGCACAACUGCAUUUGAAGCCGGCCGAGGUAACGAGCACAAGUUCGGUGUUCAGAAAUGCAGUAAAUCAAGCGCGUGAUAAACAGAGAACCGAUCACCAUCACCCUUAUUCUGCAGCAUCCGACCCCAGGAGUGCCACAUGUUGGACCUGCAGAGUAAUAUUUUCAGUAGUAUCCCCCUUCUUGUUGGCAGCCGAUUCUCUCUACCUUUGUUUACUCACUAAGUUAAAUAAAUGUAAGAGGCAAAAACCAGCUGUAUUACAAUCAGUAGCCAAAAUCACUGCAGAUGGAAACAGGGCUGCUGCAGACAAGUGCAAUGGAAAGCAAGUAGGCAUAUAGGCAUCUCCACACUGCUCUGAAUCAACAGCUACACUCUAACACUUGCAAAGCAGUUAAGUGAUGGAGUAAGCAUGUAUUUUGAUACACCCAUGUAAAAAAAACCAGCACACUCAAAAGCUGCAACACAGUGAGAAAAAUGCUGAAAGUCAGCAUUUUAGACAAGUACUUUGGAUCUGAUUUUCAUCCAGGUACCUUCAAUGAAAUAGCUGGAUUGGACAUUUUUCCUCAUGUGGAAAUUACUUGUAGAAAGCAGUGAAUUAAACUGACCUCACAGUUUUUCACUAUUUAAAAUUGAUCGCAUAAAAUAAAAAGCCCUGUUCAUGGAAGGUGUUUAGUCCGGUUCACCCUACAAUGGGGAUACCAGCCAGCAAAAUGCAGAUUCUCACCUUUUUACCCUUCUUGGGCUGUACUAUAUUUGUACAUGCUUUGAGUCCAACAGGACCACAGCAACUUGCAUUUCUGGCUGCAGGGGAAACCAAAGCUAAAAACUGUGUACAUCUGCACAAAUGAACAAAGCAAAUGAACUCAAAUGAAGGCAAGCUUUCAACCUAAACAAUUACCCUAAACAAGCAUCUAUAAGACUAGUGUAAAACAUGGCUCUUGCUAGAUUUAAAUCAGAGGUGCUGUAAAAAUCCUUGAAAGGAAGACUCAACACAAUUACAGAAAAUAUCAAGUUUUUAACAAGUUGGCCUGUGACAUUUUGCUAGACAGGGAUUCAAACCCUGUAAAGCAAAUAUCAAGAAAUGCAUUAAAAACUACAGUCAGCCUAUAGGAAAAGCACAGCUCUGUAACCUUUCUAAUUGUCUGCCACUGUUUAAGGAAAACACAAAUUUAUGGCCAAAGUUACUGCAGAAGGUUUAUGGAGAAUUCAAAGAGUCCAGAAAACCUUCAGUCAUGCAAACAAGGCAAUCGGAUAUAUUGCACAUGCCCUUGGUAGCAUACAGCUCAAGUUUGAAAGUCAACGGCAUUAAUACAGAACAGCAACGUGAAUACUGCCUGGAUUUUUUCCUUUCGACAGCCAGAAUUUCCUUUUGGGUCCCUACAUUCUCGAAGUGGAGUUUCAUAGAAAUUCAGAGCAAUUCCUGGGGCUCACGGGCCAAUCAGUAAUUUAAGACCUCACAUUUAAAUUACAGCACAUACAGGUAAGUCUCUGUGUGACCUACAAACUAUAAAGUUGUCAAGGUAAACAGAAUCCAGGAACAAACACAGCUCGCUCCAGACUUUUUGCAAGAAUCAUGAUUUUUCCAUGACCAAAUUCCCCAAUGAACUGUUAAACUCAAAUGUGGUUUUUGGCUGAAUUCAUCUAACAGAUUGACAUCAUCUCUCCCAGAACCUAACUAAAUCAAAGCAGAUUUCUCUGUGCAGAAGCACUCCACUUGAAUGAAUUGCUGCAAAGCAAAUUUUAUGCUAUACCAUGCAUGUAGCCAGAGGCUGUAGCCAAGGAAAUCGGACUCCAUAUUUAGUGGACAUCUCUGCAUUUUUCAAAAAUAUCAUUUUCUGUAUUCCAUAAAAUUACUGCUCUUCAAGUCUGCCCUUAUUUUGGAAUUCAGAUUACCGAGCCAUUAGCAGAGUUGCUUUCAACAUGGGGUUACUCUCACUCAUCUGAACAGUACAGAAGUCUGCUCGCCUCAUCUGGCCUCAGAACUGCACCACAACUGAAGCAUGCUGGAGGAAACAUGUCUGCGGGCAGUUUUCAUACGCUGUCCCAACACCCUGGCACCCUCCCUUGCCCCGAAUCAGCCGGAACAGCAAUGGCAAACUAAUGACCUUGCCUUUCUCCAUCUGUUGCCGAAAUCCUGGCCUCUCUCUAAUCUUUUGUAUUCAAAAUAUAAAUGUUUGCCUUUAUUUUUUUUAAAACAUCUGCAAGAAUGAAUGUGGAGCAUGCUGGGAUGAAGGAGCGUGGCACUAGGUCAGUGCUAUGUCCCAAGACCAACCUCAGGGGUCGGGCAAGAUGCCAAGGAGUUACACGUAUACUGGAAGCAUCUACAAAAGUCAAGGUAUAAGCAGUGUGCAUGCGUAAGGCCUGCCUAAUUCCACACUGCAGAAACUACCCGUUACCUUUUAAUACUUCUUAGCACUUGUGAUUUGAGGCACUGAAGCCAAACACCCUUUGAUUUGAACAGACAGGGAAUUAAAUGGAGUGAACAGAUCUGGUGCCAUUUGGUCCAGAACUCUAAUAUUUACGAUAUACUGCAAGACUUGCUAUGGUGAGGAAAACUUGCUAGUCAGGGAUUACUCUUGCUUCUCUGACCUCUUAGGAAAGCACCGAAAAGGUGCCUGGAAAGUCUUAAUUAUGGGGGAUUUGUAUAGGUUUGGCUUUGUUACUAUUUUAAUCGGAGACAGAUUCUCCUGUUACUUAUGCUGGUAUAACUCCAUCCAGUUGAAUGACUACUCUUAAUGUUAGGGUGGAGAAUCCGGCCCCAGAACUGUACAUGUCAAGAAUUAUUAAGUUUGCACAUUUUAAAUAAAAAAUAAGAUUCUGCUGGAUCCUUUUCUUUUUCAUACUGGUGUACUUUUUAGGUGCAGCAAAAGCCUUGGAAGAAAGCAAGAGGAUUAUAAACCACACAAGUAGCAACAAGGUUUCCCCACUUUGCUUUCAAGGAUGCCAAGGAAGAGAGAAGCCCCAUGCAAUACGUUUGGUUAAAAAGAGCUUCUGCUGACAUACAAGUGCAGUCAACCACAAGCAAGUUAAUUUGACUACAAAAGAGCAAGGGCUAUAUAUCUGGUACUCACCUUUGUACUGGCAACACCAAUCUCUGGGCCUGCGUUGAUAUGGACUCCGCAGUCCGUCUCCCUGGAUAUGGAACUGCCGACUGUAUUAGUGAUUCCCACCGUUAGGGCACCCCUUUCCUUACAAUACCGAAGACCCAUCAAAGUAUCUGCUGUCUCGCCUGCAAAGAUAAAUGUACAAAUUUAAAACAAGUUACAGGCAAUGCUGCAAUGAUGCAUAUGUGAUAGCGCAGAAAGCAGGUAUGCUGAAGGUAAGGUUUAUAAAUGGGUCUUUAAAAAAAAAAAAAAAAUCAUUAAAAGCCUGCAUUAAUCUGCACUACGGACCACUGAAAACUCAACUACUAGAAAUGGGCAAUGUAACCUUCUGCAAACUCACUCACUUUCAAAGACAUUGGUACCCGAUUUGUAGACUUAAAAAUAGCUUUGGUGAAGGUAAACAUUGACCCUAUGCUUUUUAAUGCCACUAAUUUUGGCAUAAUGUUCAAUAAGCAUGGUGAAUUAGGUCUGCUUUGCAAAUGUGAAUUAAAUUAAAUUAAACUAAACUACCUCUUACUGAUUCACCAGGCAAAAAAUAUUGCUGAACAUAUACCCAGCUUUAUUAAUCCAAUCUGAGUCCACUAUGCAGGCAUUACUACCCGAUAGUUAAUUGUUUGAUUUAACACUUUUCCAAAGGUGUUAAUAUCCUACACCUUCUAAGACUGCAGUAUGCAUCAAUUCAAAAUGAUCUACCGAACCACUCUUACAGUAACUCAAGUGAUGGAAUCUGUUCCUCAAAGAGCUCAUCCAUUAAAUACAUUGAGUAGCUUACUGAAAUUCAGAUCUCUAACUCAAAAUUUCUGCACGUAUUCAUUUGGGGUAUUAUGUCAUGUAUUAAUUUUGUAUUUUUUUGCUGUAGCUUGUGAAGACUGCAGUAUCUUAGGUUUCAUUCCCUGGAUAUCACCCCUCCCCUAAAGAAUAAAGGUGUUGUAUUACCUCCUAGAAUGGGGCUAGUCUCAGUGCAGGACCGUUCUAAUGCCGGUCACAUACCCUGGCUUGUGUGUGGCUCAAGUGUCUUGAAGCAACAUUAAAUUUAAAAAAUGGCAUCUCAGAAGCCUCAGCUGUGCCCUACAUCAGAAGCAGCUUCUCAGUCAAGACAUCAUAGUUGAAUAAUUGGGGCUUCUUUUUUCAAGAAAACAGAUAAGAAUUAGUCUAAACACUCCAUCAGCCCUUCAUGACCUCCGAACCGGCCGAUUCCUCAGAGCACAAAACUGCACUGAUGCUCCAGUUCUGAUGCAAACACAGCAAAGCCCCAGAGACAGCACUAGAAAUAGAAGCAACUGAACAUUUAGUAUAGUGUUACUGGCAUGCUUUAGUAAGUAAUUCAGCUAAGGGGAUAUGCCUUUUUGUUCUAUGCAAAGCUGACACAUCAUCAGGAAGCACUAAAACAGGGUUUGCCGAGUACACUCUACUUUUUUCUGUAAUAUCCUGGCACACAGAAAUCCCUCGCUAGGAUUCACCUUUCUAGAGAACAUAUUUUUAAAAGCAAAAGAUCUGGUGGUGAGAGCUUUGUUUGAGCUCAGUAUUUAGUUAAAUUUCCUGGAGCUUUGAGUGGAAGGCUACUGAACUUCUCCCAAGCAACAGCAACAAUAGUUCAGAUACUACUUCAUUGACUAUUAGCAGGUUUAAAAGAAGAUAGGUCCUUGGAGUGUUCUUGUGAACAAGAACCAUGCUAGAAUAUGGAAAGCCUUGUUCUUGGAGGAAAGCAGCAGAUUUAAAACUCAGGGGAAAAGGCCUAGCCAAUACAUCCUAGAAACUUUCCGACUACGUGACAUUCCAAAGUAACAGUGUCGAGGCAAACUAAUAAAUUCUUAGUAAUUUUCAUAACCAGAAAGUAAUAACUGUGAUACUUGUGAUGAAAAUAAUGCUGUUAUGGUGAUCAAAAUUAUUUACUUUCCCUGGUUUCUUUUCCCUAGACCGCAGUGAAGGGACAGAAAGAAAAAAAGCUAUUUCCUUUCAAGAUCUUCCUUUAAUAAUCAAAGCUGCAUUAGCAGAAGCAAUCAGCAAAAUUAGAUAAAAGCUUAAAAAAAAUUAAAAAAAAGGGAAAGCUGUUUCCCUGUAUUACAAAUAUUAAAACAAGCCAUUCAUCUGAUUUCAGGGUCAUGAGACUCAUUAAGAACAAUACUUAUUCUGUAGCUUAAGCUUUUGUUUUAUCUUGGGCUUCGUUCCAAGGUGGUGUUAUGUUGGGAGUACAGCAAUUUCUACACUCAUUUAAUUUCUGACCUAGUGCCUGUGUAUUUCAAUAAGUUCAGGAUGAGGCUUGGUAUAUAUUUAUAGUUCUUCCUGAAUUAGUGAUAAGAAAAUUUAAGAAAUCUUUACUGAAUUUGAGAGGCAGAGGGUGGUUUUAUCUAUCUCUGGUUUUAUUAUGCUGUGAAAUAAUUCUCCUUAGAGAAAGGAUAGAAGCCUUUUUUGCCACAUGUGAAACUUGACUAGACAAAGCAUGAAUGCCGUGCUGACACAAAGAUGGAUUAAAUGAGAUUUAGGAAGUGUAUUUCAUUUCUUGGAUCGCUGCACCAAUAUUUCACUGAUGCACAUAAAAAGCAAUAUGAAUAGCGGACAAUAGUUUGACCUAAUGGAUUUAUGUUUUUAGAGUUACAGUGAUAGCAGAAGGAUAGGUGAGGGGCAAGAACACUCCUACCUGACUGGCUGAUGAAAAAGCAAACAUCAUCUCUGAAGACUGGUGUGUUUCGGUCCAAAAAGUCACUGGCAAGUUCAACCAUAACAGGCAGUUCAGUCAGUUCUUCCAGCACUUGCCGAGUCUGAAAGAGAGGUCAGGAAGUUACAUGUGCCACAGCACUUAAACAAUAAAGACCUUAGAAAAAAGGAACCUUAAAUUGUCAAGCGCUGGAAAACGUUACAGUCACAAUAUCACAAUGGAGAUUAAUUAAAAUAUAUCCUCACGCCAUUCAACAGACCUGCAUUCGACAUACAUAGGAUAUGAAAGGCAAUAUGGAAGGCUACUCUGGUCAUGACCUGUCAAAGAAACCCAUAAGGCCAGAACCUUACACUCAACGGGAGUAAUAUUAAUUAAAUUAAUUCAAUUCAAUCUGGCUGGAGCAUAUUUACAGGAGCUGUUUGUCUGUGAGCUGGGUGAAGAGGAUGUGAAGAACUUAACCACAAUAAAUGGUGAAAGCCUUUUUUGAAUGACUGAAGCACCCAAAAGCUGCAGCCAGUAUAAGGAAAACACAUGAAACCCUAUUUUGGCCCGAGCGACUCUCUGAUGGUGAUCUGCAUUCCCUUGGAACAUGGAAGUUGCCAGAUGAGAGUCAGCUUCAUUUUCUGAUUCAUAUGAAAUAGUUAAUGCAGCUGUGUGUUUAAAAAAAAAGAAGAAAAGAAAAAGCACCCUGAAAUGACCAUAAAGCCUAUCUGGAAAAAAACUUCUAAGGACUCUUUUUAUGAAACAAUCCCGAACUUCUGGGCUGCCAACUAACAAUCCAAUAAAGCUGCGAUCAGAACAUGCCUCAAGAGAAUACGGUUACAUGUUGUUUGCACAUGACCACGUUCCUGCAAACAUUUAUGAAAUUGCGUGGCAUGAAACAGAAUUGUCAUAUUAUAUAUGGCAUUUGGAUGGAUGUCUUUAAUACUCUGUUGUCAGAGCCUGCAAAACCCAAGGGGAAAGGUCAGACUUAGCCCAGGAUGACCUUUAACUUUCUGGAGAUGUGUUACAGUACUAUGCUGUCACAUGCCUUGCCAAUUUUCUCAGAAGAGAUUUUCUUCCAAAGGCUAAAAUUUCCAUAAGCAAUUAAGUCCAGCUUUCGGAAACGAUGUGUGCACUCUAUUAAAGGACAAAAUUUUGAAGGGGUUUUGGUGCCUAAAUAUACAGAUAGGCACAUAGUGCAAUUUUUGAAAGCUCCACGGCACUUAAAGAAACUUCUAAGAAGUCCCACUAAGCACAACCUGGACUCACACCCCUUUUUAUUUAGAUUCUUUUACCCUACACACCUUGAAACACCCGCCACUGGAUAAUGCACUUUCCCCUAUUGCAUCUGAUGAGACCAUAACUUGCUCAGGACAAACAUCAUCAGCUAAUUCAGCCAAAGUUUGGAAGGAAAUGAAUAAAGACAGCUACUUACUGCAACUCCAGCAUGAUAACUCGUCCCACAAGCAAUUAGGAUUAAACGUCUGCACCGCUGGAUCUCCUUGAUGUGAUCCUUCAACCCACCCAAGUUCACUGCAACAGGUUAGCAUAAAAAAAAAAAAAAAAGGAAAAAAAAAAGAAAUUAAAAAAAUGUUGACGUAGCAAAAGACAAACAUAGCAUGUGACUUUUCAGGGUCCUCAAUGUUUCCUGGGUUCUCCAAGUAAAGAGAACCUUUUCUCUGCUAGAAAACCACAUGACCAAGCCCAUCAUAAAUAAUAACCUGAGUCCCUGAGUCAGCAGAGACUACCCCUCUCCUGUCACUGCUGUGGAAGGCCCAUUCCAAGUAACGGCAUUUCCUUUUACACACACAGCUUAUUUAUCUGGCUCCUACCCCAACAAGGCUCAUUUGGAGAGCGCUAGACCUAAAACUGUAACAAGUCUUCAUAAUUAC